GACAACCCCGGGAAACUGGGGCUAAUACCCGAUAGAUGAGGAGGCCUGGAAUGGUUCGUAGUCGAAAAGGCGUUGAAACCAUGCUUUUCGACGUCGCCUAAGGAUGGGGCCGCGCCCGAUCAGGUUGUUGGUGGGGUAACGGCUCACCAAGCCUAUAACCGGUACGGGCCGUGAGAGCGGGAGCCCGGAGAUGGGCACUGAGACAAGGGCCCAGGCCCUACGGGGCGCAGCAGUCGCGAAAACUCCGCAAUGCGCGAAAGCGUGACGGGGCUACCCCGAGUGCCGUCCGCUGAGGAUGGCUUUUCCCCGGUGUAAUGAGCCGGGGGAAUAAGGAGAGGGCAAGACUGGUGUCAGCCGCCGCGGUAAUACCAGCUCUCCGAGUGGUAGGGAUGACUAUUGGGCUUAAAGCGUCCGUAGCCGGCUUAGCAAGUCUCCUGUCAAAUUCAGCGACCUAAUCGUUGAGCCGCGGGAGAUACUACUAGGCUAGGAGGCGGGAGAGGCCGACGGUAUUCUCGGGGUAGGGGUGAAAUCCUAUAAUCCCGGGAGGACCACCAGUGGCGAAGGCUGUCGGCUAGAACGCGCUCGACGGUGAGGGACGAAAGCUGAGGGAGCGAACCGGAUUAGAUACCCGGGUAGUCCCAGCUGUAAACGAUGCGGGCUAGGUGUUGGGGUGGCUACGAGCCACUUCAGUGCCGCAGGGAAGCCAUUAAGCCCGCCGCCUGGGGAGUACGGCCGCAAGGCUGAAA
rnacentral:rRNA from 1 species